GCCGCCGUUGCGAAGGCGUGGGGCGAGGCGGCCGGCGAAGGCGCAGCAACGAUGCCAGCCUGUGCC
rnacentral:ribozyme from 15 species